UUGUGCUCUGUGGCACCUUCUGACAAGUGACCUGUGAAUGAAGAACAUAACAUGUGUGCAUGCACUAUCAGCAUCAUUAUUAGUGAGGUGAUGCUGGGGGUCUUGACACUCUGAGUGUGCAAAGUCACAGGAGGGACAUCUUGUAAGAGAUAACAAUAUUUUUAAAGAGAAUGCCUACGUUUUCUCUGGAAAGCUAUCUAUUAGUCUAAAGAAUCAUCUCUUGUAUUUCUUGAAUUUUUCUUCUUCUCUGUUCUACUUUAACAAAAUAAUGUGCAGAGACAAAAGAGAAAAUCUGGACAAAAGAGGACCUUUACUUCCUUCCAGAUCUCCUUGCCAGAUUCAGGCUAUUUUGACUGAAGAGGAUUAGGUAUGGAAGAGGUUGGGGAAAGUCCAAAGUCAACAUUGAGAUGUUUUUUUUCUCAGUUAAGGUGGGACAAAAGAGAUCAUCUGAUUGAGAGUUCUAUGAGUUGGCUAAACCUACACAUCAUGGAUAUAAGCAAGGGAGAUCUGGCCCAAUUUUAAAUCUCAGCUGCUAAAUAGCUCCUCAAAACUUGGAUUUAUUUCAUGGUUUUAUCAUCAACCUCUGGAUUUCAUGCCCAGUAAAGAAAUGCUUUGGAAAGUUCAAGAAUGGGAAAGCUUUCUUGCAGAUUCUGUGCAACUGCCCUGCCCUUUGGAGAGCUCUUGGAAAAAUUCCUGCUGAAUGUCAUUGCACACAGAAAGAGCCUCCCUGAGCCAGGCUUCAGGACCAUGUUUUGGGGUUUGAACAGAAUAUGGGAGCAAGAAAAACGAUCCUUGUGCAGCAGUGGUUACAGGAGCAGAACUAACACCAACCAUUGUGUGGGAGCAGUAAAACAGAGGGUGGGUUCUUCAUUUUUGCAUCAAGCUCUCACAGAGAUCUGUAGUCACAUCUCACACUCUCAGGCAUAGGGGCACAGCUACAGAAAAUGUUUCUCCUGUAAUCUGACUGAUUAGGCCAAAGGGGUGACCCAUAGCAAGAGGAACAAGUGAAAUAAAGUGUCUGGUCAUCAGCUGGUGUGCAAAUCUGAGGCUUUCCAACUUGAGGUCUCUUGUUGCCAUUCAAAACUUAGGCUUAAUUUCAAGUGCGAUCGCAUAGUUCUAAAAAAUAACAAUAUCAAUAUCUAAGAAAAGAGAUGGCAAAAAUAUUCCUAAGACACUGUCAAGGACUUGAGAUGUAUUCCUAGUGCAGUGAGGGGUUUCAGUUUACCCUCCAGCUCACCUUAGCUGCCUCUGGAGCAGGUGCCAGGGAAGCUGUCACAGAGGGAAAUUCAGCCCAGCUCCUCUGGGCUGCUGAGCACACUCAAAUCCAUCCUGUCACACGAGCACUGAGCUGUAGCCAGCCUGGGCUAAGAUGAUUUGAUGCUCUGAAUGCAGCCAUCACGCCUCUCAUGGCAGUGUGGAUAUUUUCCUCACUAGGAGCCAUGCUAGCAUGCUGAAGGAUUUGGUGCACCAUUCAUAGAAACUCUGGAUUCAGCAGACAACAACGUAAACAGUAUUGUAUUUGCAGAAGAAAACUUCAAUUCAGACUAUUAUUGUUUUCCUAAAGAAUUGCAGUUACAUGGAACUCCAGACUUAAACUGACACAA